rnacentral:rRNA from 1 species
AUGAACGCUGGCGGCGUGCUUAACACAUGCAAGUCGAACGGGAUCCCAGGAGCUUGCUCCUGGGUGAGAGUGGCGAACGGGUGAGUAAUGCGUGACCGACCUGCCCCAUACACCGGAAUAGCUCCUGGAAACGGGUGGUAAUGCCGGAUGCUCCAGUUGGAUGCAUGUCCUUCUGGGAAAGAUUCAUCGGUAUGGGAUGGGGUCGCGUCCUAUCAGGUAGUCGGCGGGGUAACGGCCCACCGAGCCUACGACGGGUAGCCGGCCUGAGAGGGCGACCGGCCACAUUGGGACUGAGAUACGGCCCAGACUCCUACGGGAGGCAGCAGUGGGGAAUAUUGCACAAUGGGCGCAAGCCUGAUGCAGCGACGCCGCGUGCGGGAUGACGGCCUUCGGGUUGUAAACCGCUUUUGACUGGGAGCAAGCCCUUCGGGGUGAGUGUACCUUUCGAAUAAGCACCGGCUAACUACGUGCCAGCAGCCGCGGUAAUACGUAGGGUGCAAGCGUUAUCCGGAAUUAUUGGGCGUAAAGGGCUCGUAGGCGGUUCGUCGCGUCCGGUGUGAAAGUCCAUCGCUUAACGGUGGAUCCGCGCCGGGUACGGGCGGGCUUGAGUGCGGUAGGGGAGACUGGAAUUCCCGGUGUAACGGUGGAAUGUGUAGAUAUCGGGAAGAACACCAAUGGCGAAGGCAGGUCUCUGGGCCGUCACUGACGCUGAGGAGCGAAAGCGUGGGGAGCGAACAGGAUUAGAUACCCUGGUAGUCCACGCCGUAAACGGUGGAUGCUGGAUGUGGGGACCAUUCCACGGUCUCCGUGUCGGAGCCAACGCGUUAAGCAUCCCGCCUGGGGAGUACGGCCGCAAGGCUAAAACUCAAAGAAAUUGACGGGGGCCCGCACAAGCGGCGGAGCAUGCGGAUUAAUUCGAUGCAACGCGAAGAACCUUACCUGGGCUUGACAUGUUCCCGACAGCCGU